CCACCUUCCGUUUGGCAGUCGGACCUUUCACCUUGGCUUGGAGGGAGCACGGAUGGGAGCACAUGCUACAAACAUUUGGCCGGAACCCUCCACUUCCUGUUUGGCAGUCGGCCCUUCCACCUCCAACUGACUGGACUGGACCAGAGAAAACCGACAACAACUGGACCACGCGGGACAUGCAUCUGCUGGUGGAGAAGGGCGUUUCUCAACAUCGCACUCAACUGCGUCAGAACUGUGACUGUCUGCAGAUCAG